CUGGAGAGCUGCUUAAUCUGUUAGGCUUUGAAGACGGGGGAUCUUAAAAUGGCUCCGGAGGAGCUGAGGUAGCUUUGCUCUUUUUAAGUGGGUGGUAGACUGUAGGUGACUGAUUAAAGUUUCUUUAAUAGUUCAGGAUAUGAAGAGUCUAGAGUCAGGAAGAAUCUACUAACUUUCCUGAUUUUUAUUGGCUCUGAGAUCUGAAGCCAGUUUUUUGUUGUUGUUGAGUAUAUGGGAUUGUCAGGCAGAUCUGGCUGUGGAAAGGAGACUGUGGGCAGCAAGUUUAGAGGCGUGACUGAAAGUGGCGCUGUGACCUUAGCUGCUGAAUCAGCUUUCUGGUUACUAUGGGCAACAGCCUUGUUUUCUUUUUGAUGUCCUUUGCAGUGGAUCACAGCUACCUGCUGAGGUGUAUCCAGCAGCUCAAGAGAGACAUCGACCAGCGAGAAGGGGCCAUGAUGAUGGUGGUGGUUUUGUGAAAACGAAAAGGGGGAUAUGUAGGGAAAAGAAAGAGAGAUCAGACUGUUACUGUGUCUACACAGAAAGGGAAGACAUAAGAGACUCCAUUUUGAAAAAGACCUGUACUUUAAACAAUUGCUUUGCUGAGAUGUUGUUAAUCUGUAGCUUUGCCCCGGCCACCUUGCCCCCAACCACUUUGACCCAACCUGGAGCUCACAAAAACAUGUGUUGUAUGAAAUCAAGGUUUAAGGGAUGUAGGGCUGUGCAGGAUGUGCCUUGUUAACAAAAUGUUUGCAAGCAGUAUACUUGGUAAAAGUCAUCGCCAUUCUCUAGUCUCAAUAAACCAGGGGUACAAUGCACUGUGGAAAGCCGCAGGGACCUCAGCCCUUGAAAGCUGGGUAUUGUCCAAGGUUUCUCCCCAUGUGAUAGUCUGAAAUAUGGCCUCGUGGGAUGAGAAAGACCUGACGGUCCCCCAGCCCGACAACCAUAAAGGGUCUGUGCUGAGGUGGAUUAGUCAAAGAGGAAAGCCUCUUGCAGUUGAGAUAGAGGAAAGCCACUGUCUCCUGCCUGUCUCUGGGAACUGAAUGUCUUGGUAUAAAACCCGAUUGUACAUUUGUUCAAUUCUGAGAUGGGAGAAAAACCGCCCUAUGGUGGGAGGCGAGACAUGUUUACAGCAAUGCUUCCUUGUUAUUCUUUACUCCACUGAGAUGUUUGGGUGGAGAGAAACAUAAAUCUGGCUUAUGUACACGUCCAGUCAUAGUACCUUCCCUUGAACUUCAUUAUGACAUAGAUUCUAUUGCUCACAUGUUUGUUGCUGACCUUCUCCUUAUUAUCACCCUGCCCUCCUACUACAUUCCUUUUUGCUGAAAUAAUGAAGAUAAUAAUCAAUAAAAACUGAGGGAACUCAGAGGCCGUUGCCAGUGCAGAUCCUUUGUAUGUUGAGCGCCGAUCCCCUGGGCCCACUGUUGUUUCUCUACACUUUGUCUCUGUGUCUUAUUUCUUUUCUAUCUCUCAUCCCACCUGACUACAAAUACCCACAGGUGUGGAGGGGCAGGCCACCCCUUCAUUAUGAGAUUACAGGCAUUAAUAACCCCCCCUGGCCACCUAACUCACUCUUGAGAGGCCAGAAGUGAUGCUGGAACUUUCUUCCUCUGUGGGUUAAAAAGGGAAAAUUAGGGAGAACACAAGGCAUGAAAGAUGCAGCGAUGGAUAUGUCUAUAUGGAGCUUCUGUCUGCAUCCAGUAGAAAAUUCAUUUCUAGGCACCAGGUUUAAGAGCGAAAACCUGGAGUCUUGUCUGUUAGCAUUCUCCUUCCCCACAAACCAGAGAGGGAAUACAUUUUGCUCCAGCACACCCGGAUGUAGGAAAUGUCACAUUCCUAUUUCUGUAACUUCAGUUAAAUCUGCUCUGAGUUCCUGGAUGCCUGGCAGGUGGAGAAUUCAAUCUUGUCAUUACCAGCAUUCCUUUCCCUUCUCCAUGGGCUUACGUAAGAAUUCUGGGCAUACACACUGUUGGAAACCCUGGCAGGAACUACAUCCCCCGAACUCUCCAUUCUUCCAGCUGCUCAUGAUCCGUCAGCCUUUUUUGGGCCAUCUGCUAUAACAAGACCCUCCUCACAGCAUCAUUCCACUGACCCACAGGCUCAGCCCCAGGGACCCUCACUAUAACAGGUCUCCACUAUGCAUAGGAACUCACAAAAACCUUCUCUUCAUCUUGCCUUCCUCUGAUAUCCAGCCACUCCCCCACUUCUCACCUUAAACACAGAUGGCAGCUCCUUCCCAUCGUUCCAAG
rnacentral:lncRNA from 1 species